rnacentral:tRNA from 1 species
AAUGAGAUGGCAGAGUGUUAGAGCGGUGAAUUGUAAAUUCAUAUAGGAAGGUUAGAGUCCUUUUCUUAUUA